UACGUAGGGCGCAAGCGUUGUCCGGAAUUACUGGGCGUAAAGAGCUCGUAGGCGGUCUGUCGCGUCGGAUGUGAAAGCCCGGGGCUUAACCCCGGGUCUGCAUUCGAUACGGGCAGACUAGAGUGUGGUAGGGGAGAUCGGAAUUCCUGGUGUAGCGGUGAAAUGCGCAGAUAUCAGGAGGAACACCGGUGGCGAAGGCGGAUCUCUGGGCCAUUACUGACGCUGAGGAGCGAAAGCGUGGGGAGCGAACAGG
rnacentral:rRNA from 1 species